GCCAGGAGAAGGAAGUGCCGCCUCCACCAGUGUGGCAGCAAGGCCCCUCGAAGGACACUGGCUGCUACAUGCCCAUUCCAGCAAGGACGGCUGACAGACCAGAUGCCAAAGCUGUGUGCCCUUAGUGGGGGCUGGUCCUAAAUUUGGGGUUAUCAGAUUGGUCAUCUCAAGCCCCAGCAACCAGUUACAACGAAACUGCUCACCACCGACCAGACCUUUGGGCUCAGUGAUCUGUAAAACUAAACACAUUCCUAAUAUAAUAAGAAAAUUGAGCAUUUAAAACUUGACAACCGGUGUCUGGAGAGGCGGCCCCAGUGGUCAGGAGCUUGCAUUGUUUACUCUUCCGGAAGACUUGGGUUUGAUUCCCAGCACCCACGCCAGGUGGCUCACGAUGACUGUGACUCCGGCCUCCUUAAACGCCUGCGUUCAUCUGCACCCCUCCACAAACAUACGUACACAAAAUUAAAAAUGGAACAAUUGAGGCUUCAAGAAGAAACAACGUGGUUAGUCCACACCAUUACCGCCUGUAGUGCAGGCAGGAGCCACCUCCAGGAGGGAAGGACCGUCAGGAGAAAGGCCAUCUAGACCUCCUUGAGAGAACUGGACAGUUUGGCCUAAAUCCGAUGCCAAGGCUGCAGGCUAAGGGGAGAGGAGAGGAGGGGAAGAAGGGGACCCCUUUACUCUUAGGGGUCCCUAGGGACUGUACAGCUGGAUUUGGGCAGCACAGGGCCAAGACACAGGCUCAAAGAGGUCACGCUCUUCCCUCUCCGAAGGGAGCAGGCAACCCGUGGUCAUUCUGGGGCAUGGCAGAAGAGGGUACACGGACCUCGAAGGAUCCGAGCAAGAAAAGGAUGACAACGGCCGCCACAGAGAAAAUCCCGUACCCGAGGCUCCGAUGCAAACCCAGGGUCUCACUAAAUUGAUCAUUCCGGCUUUGAAUUGACUCUGCAGCCUGGGCCUUGAACUUGUGACUUUUCCUGGAGCCUCCCCAAGACGCCUGGAUCGUUUAGUCUGACACUCCCCUAGCAGAGUAAGUCAUCCGCCACGGUGGAGAAGAUUGCCCGAGAGACCUGCGCUACAGAUGGGGUGGAUGGACAGCACCAGUUCCCCCACUAAAUCCACCCGGUGCCUCCAGGUUUGAAGGGCUCCCCCACCUGUAAAGCCAGUUUGGAUGCAGAAACGUGCCCUGGUCUCAGUAAAAUAAAAUAAAAUGAAAUUCU